UACGGGGGGGGUAAGCGUUGUUCGGAAUUACUGGGCGUAAAGGGCGCGUAGGCGGCCCGCUAAGUCGAACGUGAAAUCCCCGAGCUCAACUCGGGAACUGCGUCCGAUACUGGUGGGCUUGAAUCCGGGAGAGGGAUGCGGAAUUCCAGGUGUAGCGGUGAAAUGCGUAGAUAUCUGGAGGAACACCGGUGGCGAAGGCGGCAUCCUGGACCGGUAUUGACGCUGAGGCGCGAAAGCCAGGGGAGCAAAGCGGG
rnacentral:rRNA from 1 species